rnacentral:misc_RNA from 1 species
UGAUAGGCUCCAAACUGGUAUGAGAGGAGCUUUCGGUAAGCCACAGGGAGUCUGUGCCCGUGUUGCUAUUGGUCAGGUUCUUCUCUCGGUUCGGUGCAAAGAUGGCAAUGCUAACCAUGCUCAAGAGGCUCUUCGCCGUGCUAAGUUUAAGUUUCCUGGCCGACAAAAGAUUAUUGUCAGCAGAAAGUGGGGGUUCACUAAGUUCAGCCGUACCGAUUAUCUGAAAUACAAAUCCGAGAAUCGUAUUGUCCCAGACGGUGUGAACGCCAAGCUUCUUGGCUGCCAUGGACGACUUGCUGCACGUCAACCUGGA